rnacentral:rRNA from 1 species
GACAUCCAGCGAAUUCGGUAGAGAUACCUUAGUGCCUUCGGGAACGCUGAGACAGGUGCUGCAUGGCUGUCGUCAGCUCGUGUUGUGAAAUGUUGGGUUAAGUCCCGCAACGAGCGCAACCCUUAUCCUUUGUUGCCAGCGGUCCGGCCGGGAACUCAAAGGAGACUGCCAGUGAUAAACUGGAGGAAGGUGGGGAUGACGUCAAGUCAUCAUGGCCCUUACGAGUAGGGCUACACACGUGCUACAAUGGCGCAUACAAAGAGAAGCGACCUCGCGAGAGCAAGCGGACCUCAUAAAGUGCGUCGUAGUCCGGAUUGGAGUCUGCAACUCGACUCCAUGAAGUCGGAAUCGCUAGUAAUCGUAGAUCAGAAUGCUACGGUGAAUACGUUCCCGGGCCUUGUACACACCGCCCGUCACACCAUGGGAGUGGGUUGCAAAAGAAGUAGGUAGCUUAACCUUCGGGAGGGCGCUUACCACUUUGUGAUUCAUGACUGGGGUGAAGUCGUAACAAGGUAAGCGUAGAUGA